rnacentral:rRNA from 1 species
GAUGAACGCUAGCGGCAGGCUUAAUACAUGCAAGUCGAGGGGCAGCACGGUUAGCAAUAACUGGUGGCGACCGGCGCACGGGUGCGUAACACGUAUACAAUCUACCUUAAACAGGGGGGUAGCCUUUCGAAAGAGAGAUUAAUACCCCGUAAUAAAUUGAACGGCAUCGUUUGAUUUUGAAAGCUCCGGCGGUUUGAGAUGAGUAUGCGUCUGAUUAGCUAGUUGGUGAGGUAACGGCUCACCAAGGCGACGAUCAGUAGGGGAUCUGAGAGGACUAACCCCCACACUGGUACUGAGACACGGACCAGACUCCUACGGGAGGCAGCAGUAAGGAAUAUUGGUCAAUGGAGGCAACUCUGAACCAGCCAUGCCGCGUGCAGGAUGACGGCCCUAUGGGUUGUAAACUGCUUUUAUACAAGAGAAAACCCUGGUACGUGUACCAGGUUGAUAGUAUUGUAAGAAUAAGCAUCGGCUAACUUCGUGCCAGCAGCCGCGGUAA